AGCGGCGGACGGGUGAGUAACGCGUGGGCAACCUGCCUUUUACUGGGGGAUAACACCGGGAAACCGGUGCUAAUACCGCAUAACACCAUAGAGUGGCAUCACUUAGUGGUCAAAGGAGCAAUCCGGUAGAAGAUGGGCCCGCGUCUGAUUAGCUAGUUGGUGGGGUAAAGGCUCACCAAGGCGACGAUCAGUAGCCGAACUGAGAGGUUGAUCGGCCACAUUGGGACUGAGACACGGCCCAGACUCCUACGGGAGGCAGCAGUGGGGAAUAUUGCGCAAUGGGGGAAACCCUGACGCAGCGACGCCGCGUGAAGGAUGAAGGUUUUCGGAUUGUAAACUUCUUUAGUCGGGGAAGAAAAAAAUGACGGUACCCGAAGAAUAAGCCACGGCUAACUACGUGCC
rnacentral:rRNA from 1 species